GCAUUCUUGGUCCAACGGUAGGAUAAUUGCCUUCCAAGCAAUUGGCCCGGGUUCGAGUACGUUCUAUUCCACAUCCCACCUCACCAACA